rnacentral:rRNA from 1 species
AAGGGAGUGAAAAACUCCCUCGCCGGAAGACCAAGGGUUCCUGUCCAACGUUAAUCGGGGCAGGGUAAGUCGACUCCUAAGGCGAGGCCGAAAGGCGUAGUCGAUGGGAAACGGGUUAAUAUUCCCGUACUUCUUACAAUUGCGAUGGGGGGACGGAGAAGGCUAGGUGGGCCUGGCGACGGUUGUCCAGGUUCAAGUAUGUAGGCGGAAAGUUUAGGUAAAUCCGGACUUUCUUUAA